GACGAACGCUGGCGGCGCGCCUAACACAUGCAAGUCGAACGAGCGAGAGAGAGCUUGCUUUCUUGAGCGAGUGGCGAACGGGUGAGUAACGCGUGAGGAACCUGCCUCAAAGAGGGGGACAACAGUUGGAAACGACUGCUAAUACCGCAUAAGCCCACGGUGCCGCAUGGCACAGAGGGAAAAGGAGCAAUCCGCUUUGAGAUGGCCUCGCGUCCGAUUAGCUAGUUGGUGAGGUAACGGCCCACCAAGGCGACGAUCGGUAGCCGGACUGAGAGGUUGAACGGCAACAUUGGGACUGAGACACGGCCCAGACUCCUACGGGAGGCAGCAGUGGGGAAUAUUGCACAAUGGGGGAAACCCUGAUGCAGCGACGCCGCGUGGAGGAAGAAGGUCUUCGGAUUGUAAACUCCUGUUGUUGGGGAAGAUAGUGACGGUACCCAACAAGGAAGUGACGGCUAACUACGUG
rnacentral:rRNA from 1 species